AUUAAGUACAGUUAUGGUUUCAGUGCCGAACUUUAACCACUUAUUUUAUUUGAAAUAUUUUUACGAUUAAUAUUUUUAUUGUUAUUAGUAUUUUUAUUGUUAUUAGAUGAUAAAAUAUGAAUAGUGCUUUUAUACUUGACUUAACUUUAAAAUAUUUUUUAUAAAUUUUUUAAAUAAGAUAGACAGUAAAACGUUGGACACGAAAACUUACUGUUGAACUUUAU
rfam:Oryza nivara chromosome 12, whole genome shotgun sequence.